GGAACACGAAGAGGUCGUUUUGCCUCAGCGUUGCAGGAAAAAGAUGGAAAAGCUAAACAGGGCUCCUCCUGUGAGAAAGUGUGCCCACCCUGGAGAUGUCUAUGCCGUUCUGGUCGCUGUAUCUUAAAAAGAAUAUUUAGAGUCGAGAGAACCACAUAUGGAUGUAGACAACGAACCGAUCACCAGGUGAUUAGCAGCAAUGCAACAUUAUUCAAGAAGAAAAGAGCGAAACGCACAUGCUUUUGUAGAGAGGCCUAUUACAAUCCAAGCUGUAACCCCAAUAUUAACAAUUCAUUAAACCUA